GCCCCCGUAGCUCAGUGGAUAGAGCACAUUCCUCCUAAGAAUGGGGUCACACGUUCGAUUCGUGUCGGGGGCGCCA
rnacentral:tRNA from 1 species